rnacentral:lncRNA from 1 species
AUGGUUUUAUUCUGUUUUUCAAUAACUCUAGCUCUGUGCCUUCUCUUGAAAAUAUCUUGCCUGAAUCGCUUGGUCUCAAUUUGGAUGUUGUCAUGUGUAUAAGGAGUUCGCUUAAAGAUUAGUAGGAAAAAUGAAGCAUAAAAGAAAAUAAAGCGAAAGAUGAAGAUUUUAUAGACCAAAUGCUUUAUAGGCUUCGGUGCAUGUUUGGAUUAGCGUUGAGACUGCCCGA